UACAGAGGGGGCAAGCGUUGUUCGGAAUUACUGGGCGUAAAGGGCUCGUAGGCGGCCAACUAAGUCAGACGUGAAAUCCCUCGGCUUAACCGGGGAACUGCGUCUGAUACUGGAUGGCUUGAGUUUGGGAGAGGGAUGCGGAAUUCCAGGUGUAGCGGUGAAAUGCGUAGAUAUCUGGAGGAACACCGGUGGCGAAGGCGGCAUCCUGGAUCAACACUGACGCUGAGUGAGCGAAAGCCAGGGGAGCAAACGGG
rnacentral:rRNA from 1 species